rnacentral:rRNA from 1 species
GACGAACGCUGGCGGCGUGCUUAACACAUGCAAGUCGAGCGGAAAGGCCCUGCUUUUGUGGGGUGCUCGAGUGGCGAACGGGUGAGUAACACGUGAGUAACCUGCCCUUGACUUUGGGAUAACUUCAGGAAACUGGGGCUAAUACCGGAUAGGAGCUCCUGCUGCAUGGUGGGGGUUGGAAAGUUUCGGCGGUUGGGGAUGGACUCGCGGCUUAUCAGCUUGUUGGUGGGGUAGUGGCUUACCAAGGCUUUGACGGGUAGCCGGCCUGAGAGGGUGACCGGCCACAUUGGGACUGAGAUACGGCCCAGACUCCUACGGGAGGCAGCAGUGGGGAAUAUUGCACAAUGGGCGGAAGCCUGAUGCAGCAACGCCGCGUGCGGGAUGACGGCCUUCGGGUUGUAAACCGCUUUCGCCUGUGACGAAGCGUGAGUGACGGUAAUGGGUAAAGAAGCACCGGCUAACUACGUGCCAGCAGCCGCGGUGAUACGUAGGGUGCGAGCGUUGUCCGGAUUUAUUGGGGCGUAAGGGCUCGUAGGUGGUUGAUCGCGUCGGAAGUGUAAUCUUGGGGCUUAACCCUGAGCGUGCUUUCGAUACGGGUUGACUUGAGGAAGGUAGGGGAGAAUGGAAUUCCUGGUGGAGCGGUGGAAUGCGCAGAUAUCAGGAGGAACACCAGUGGCGAAGGCGGUUCUCUGGGCCUUUCCUGACGCUGAGGAGCGAAAGCGUGGGGAGCGAACAGGCUUAGAUACCCUGGUAGUCCACGCUGUAAACGGUGGGUACUAGGUGUGGGGUCCAUUCCACGGGUUCCGUGCCGUAGCUAACGCUUUAAGUACCCCGCCUGGGGAGUACGGCCGCAAGGCUAAAACUCAAAGGAAUUGACGAGGCCCCGCACAAGCGGCGGAGCAUGCGGAUUAAUUCGAUGCAACGCGUAGAACCUUACCUGGGUUUGACAUGGAUCGGGAGUGCUCAGAGAUGGGUGUGCCUCUUUUGGGGUCGGUUCACAGGUGGUGCAUGGCUGUCGUCAGCUCGUGUCGUGAGAUGUUGGGUUAAGUCCCGCAACGAGCGCAACCCUUGUUCACUGUUGCCAGCACGUUAUGGUGGGGACUCAGUGGAGACCGCCGGGGUCAACUCGGAGGAAGGUGGGGAUGACGUCAAGUCAUCAUGCCCCUUAUGUCCAGGGCUUCACGCAUGCUACAAUGGCUGGUACAGAGAGUGGCGAGCCUGUGAGGGUGAGCGAAUCUCGGAAAGCCGGUCUCAGUUCGGAUUGGGGUCUGCAACUCGACCUCAUGAAGUCGGAGUCGCUAGUAAUCGCAGAUCAGCAACGCUGCGGUGAAUACGUUCCCGGG